AGAGUUUGAUCAUGGCUCAGAUUGAACGCUGGCGGCAGGCUUAACACAUGCAAGUCGAGCGGAUGAAGGUAGCUUGCUACUGGAUUCAGCGGCGGACGGGUGAGUAAUGCUUAGGAAUCUGCCUAUUAGUGGGGGACAACGUUCCGAAAGGAGCGCUAAUACCGCAUACGUCCUACGGGAGAAAGCAGGGGACCUUUGGGCCUUGCGCUAAUAGAUGAGCCUAAGUCGGAUUAGCUAGUUGGUAGGGUAAAGGCCUACCAAGGCGACGAUCUGUAGCGGGUCUGAGAGGAUGAUCCGCCACACUGGGACUGAGACACGGCCCAGACUCCUACGGGAGGCAGCAGUGGGGAAUAUUGGACAAUGGGGGGAACCCUGAUCCAGCCAUGCCGCGUGUGUGAAGAAGGCCUUUUGGUUGUAAAGCACUUUAAGCGAGGAGGAGGCUACCUAGAUUAAUACUUUAGGAUAGUGGACGUUACUCGCAGAAUAAGCACCGGCUAACUCUGUGCCAGCAGCCGCGGUAAUACAGAGGGUGCGAGCGUUAAUCGGAUUUACUGGGCGUAAAGCGUGCGUAGGCGGCCAAUUAAGUCAAAUGUGAAAUCCCCGAGCUUAACUUGGGAAUUGCAUUCGAUACUGGUUGGCUAGAGUAUGGGAGAGGAUGGUAGAAUUCCAGGUGUAGCGGUGAAAUGCGUAGAGAUCUGGAGGAAUACCGAUGGCGAAGGCAGCCAUCUGGCCUAAUACUGACGCUGAGGUACGAAAGCAUGGGGAGCAAACAGGAUUAGAUACCCUGGUAGUCCAUGCCGUAAACGAUGUCUACUAGCCGUUGGGGCCCUUGAGGCUUUAG
rnacentral:rRNA from 1 species